rnacentral:lncRNA from 1 species
CUAGGUCUAGGACUAGACUUGGUACAUGGAGGCGUGCAUGCGCGGACUGCGGCAUGUGGCGCUGAAUCAUGAUCGGAAAGGACACUUGGCCGACACGUGGCUGAACCAAGGUCGGCGAACUGCGGCUAUAAAUAGGACCCGAAACCAUAGUUUCGAAUCAAACCUGAAAAACUUAGAAAAACUUAAGAGGAAGAGAGAUAGUCCGAUAAGAGCUUACCGUGUUCGACCGGAGUGCUGAGCAAGAAAGUUUAGCCGAUAGAAGUAGCUGAGUCAGGUGGAUUUCGGUCUGAGUUUGGCGAUAAACGGGAGAACGCCCGGGAAACGUCCGUCAAGGAAAAAGGUGAGUUCCGGUAGAUAGGAACUAAUGAUUUUGUGCAGGGAACCAUGGAUCGGUCUAGGCGAGACUGUAUUCCACGGUUAUAAGUAGAUUGUGUGAAUGCUUGCUAGGUAUAAGCCAUUGUUUGGGGGUGGGAACCUAAACCGUUAUACUUAAGUAAGAAAAUUAUAUAACCUCGAAAACAUUAAGCUAGUAGGAACUUGAACGUUAAAAGAAAUAAAACCAAGGCAUAUGAUAAAGGGUUCUAUGCUGGGUUAAGGGUAGGCUAUACUUAAAACGAUUAUGAAUUGUAAAGUAUUGUUUAAAAAGGGCGGCCGUGAGGGGACUAUGGUCACCACGGGUCGUUGGCUAAUAAAACGAUGUAGAUAGAGGUUGCGGGUAACCGUUGAACCUAAAUGAUUGUGUGCAAGCCACAGAAAGAUUCAGUAGAAUCUGUGGUAUGGUUAUGGCGUGAACCACAGAAAGGUUGGUAGAACCUUGUGGUGUGUUAGGACACAAGCCCAGAGACUCGGAGGGAUACUUGGGUCGCUCCCAUGGCCGAGUGCUGCAUGACGAUGCGGCCUGACUGGUCGAGAAGGAAGGACCGCGAAGUCGGAAGCAAGUCCGGUUCAUGUGCCUGAGUGGCUAUGAAUAGUGGGGCUUGCCGGGCUAGGAGGUGUCAUUAGCUACAUGCUGUAAGGCAUGUUGGGUUGGGAGCCCACCUGUUCGGUAAUGUUAUGUGAUAUUGUAGCUUCCGCUGUAGCAUUUGGUUGAUAGCUGUUCCGUGAAACUUAUGUGCGACUCAUUGUGUUUGUUGCCUUCCCCUGUUUGAUGUGCUUCGGCUAUCUGGGGUGGGAUGGGGAAUUAACGUGUUUAGCAGGGCCUGGACUCAUUGGGCAUUUUAUAGAAAUGCUCAAUAUACGUUUUUGUCUCGCAGGAAGCCGUAGACAAAUUUAGAAGGGAAGGCAUCGGACAUUAGGAGUGCUGGAGUAGUUUUACGGUGGGAUUGUAAAG